rnacentral:pre_miRNA from 1 species
UUAGUAUUCCAUUCGUCCGAAAAUAUUUGUCAUCAAAAUAAAUAAAAGAGAUGUAUUUAGAUGUAUUUUAAUUCUUGAUACAUCUUUGUUUGUUCAUUUUAAUGACAAAUAUUUUUGGACAGAGAGUACUGC